GCGCGAGUGGCGGAACAGGCAGACGCGCUGGGUUUAGGUCUCAGUGUCCUCGGACGUGCGGGUUCGACUCCCGCCUCGCGCACC
rnacentral:tRNA from 1 species